CACGUAGGGUGCGAGCGUUGUCCGGAAUUAUUGGGCGUAAAGAGCUCGUAGGCGGUGUGUCGCGUCGGCCGUGAAAACCUGCAGCUUAACUGUGGGCUUGCGGUCGAUACGGGCAUCACUGGAGUUCGGCAGGGGAGACUGGAAUUCCUGGUGUAGCGGUGAAAUGCGCAGAUAUCAGGAGGGAACACCGGUGGGCCGAAGGCGGGUCUCUGGGCCGAUACUGACGCUGGAGGAG
rnacentral:rRNA from 1 species